AAAAAAGGAACUACCAUAUAUAAUUAACUUGUAUUCAAUGUGCCAUCCUUGUAUGUUUAUAAUAUCUAAUUCUCCUUGUUUAAUUAGUUGAAAAAUGUGUUCUACAGCUUCUGGUACACUCGAUUGCUCACAGGCCAUGUCAUUAUGUCGCUUUACAUUCAAUCAUUGUUAUGAAAGUAGGAUGCUAGCUAAAUACAAAGCACUUUGUGUGUGUUGUAUAUGUAAGAUUAAUUCUGCUUUUGAGAGUCCA
rnacentral:misc_RNA from 1 species